GACGAACGCUGGCGGCGUGCUUAACACAUGCAAGUCGAACGAAGUCGCGCACGUGUGAGUAACGCGUAAUCAACCUGCCCUUCAGAGGGGGACAACAGUUGGAAACGACUGCUAAUACCUCAUACUUAAGGAGGUGAUUGCGUCUGAUUAGCUAGUUGGUGGGGUAACGGCCCACCAAGGCGAUGUUCAGUAGCCGGUCUGAGAGGAUGAACGGACAAAAUGGGACUGAGACACGGCCCAGACUCCUACGGGAGGCAGCAGUGGGGAAUCUUCCGAAAUGGACGAAAGUCUGACGGGGCAACGCCGCGUGAGUGAUGACGGCCUUCGGGUUGUAAAAGUCUGUUAAUCGGGACGCGGUACCGGAAGAGGAAGCAACGGCUAACUACGUGCCAGCAGCCGCGGUAAUUC
rnacentral:rRNA from 1 species